rnacentral:misc_RNA from 1 species
AAAACUACAGAGAUUUAUCCAAAGAAAUAAGGGAAGUAUUUUUUUUUUUCACCACUUGUAUUUCUAAAGUAGUUUGUUUGUAUAACAUCAAAAUCUUGGCUUACUUCAAUGCUUACCUCGUUGGUGACGAGGUAAAAGUUCAUGACUCGAACCAAGAAUGCCGACCUUCCGAAGAUUUCACACAGACAACGGAUUGUUGGGAUGCAGGGCUUCUUGAAGAGUUUUCACUGCACUAUCAUAAGAUACAAAGCCCAUAAACCAGAAUUCAUGAUUGUCAAUGGAGAUAACCUGUAUGAACUUUUCAGCCGGUUUCGCUUUGCUUGUUGAUGGGUUGACUGCUUUUAGGUGAUGUAGUGGGAUCACCACCUUGUACAGGCUCCAUUGAGUCUCCUCGCCCACUUUGUAUGAAAGAGGAUUAUCA